rnacentral:rRNA from 1 species
UACGUAGGGGGCAAGCGUUGUCCGGAUUUAUUGGGCGUAAAGAGCGUGUAGGCGGUCAGGUAGGUCAGUUGUGAAAACUCGAGGCUCAACCUCGAGACGCCGGUUGAAACCAUCUGACUAGAGUCCGGAAGAGGAGAGUGGAAUUCCUGGUGUAGCGGUGAAAUGCGCAGAUAUCAGGAAGAACACCCGUGGCUAAGGCGGCUCUCUAGUACGGUACUGACGCUGAGACGCGAAAGCGUGGGGAGCGAACAGG